AGGCAGCAUCCCACGGAGGGAAACCCUAGCCGCCGGCCCGCCAAUUGCCUCGCGUGCUCAUCUUCCCCAAUCCCCUCCCGAGCCUCUCCUCUCCAAUCCCCUCACGAUCUCCUCGCCCAAUCGCUCGCGCCCGGGCGACGGAGCCGAGCGCGUGCUUGAAGACGGCGAAGGCGAGCCUGGCGACGGCGGCAAGCGCGAGCACGCGCCCAGGCGACGGCGGCGACUGCGGCGCGAGCGCGCGCUUGGAGACGGCAACGGCGGCGGCGAGCGCGCAGCUGAAACGACGGCGGCAAGCGUGUGCCUGCGCGACGACAGCGACUGCGGCGGCGACGGCAAGUGCGCGACUGGAGACGGCGCGCGCAUGGGUGGUGCGGCAACGACGGCAGCGAAGGCGCGCCUAGACGACCUUCUCCCCAAUCCCUGCAUCAGCUUGUCCUCCCCAAAAUAUCUGGAUUGGCCUACUCACAUAUUUCUCCCUCGAUCCCCUCCCUUGCUCCUCCCCAAUCACUGCCCUCCGCUCCAUCUCCGGCGAGCUGCCACCAGUCGUGUGCUCCGGCUCGCGCCAGUCCUCCGCCUCUCCCUCCUCCCCAGAGGUAAAUACAAGGUUUGGGGGCCGUUGCUGCCCUCCUCCCCCUGAUCCAAGUCCGUGCUCAAUAGGAGAUGGAUGUGUGUGGAAGCAGAGGUGGUGAUGCCAGGUGCGGGUGAUGGAGAUGCGUUGGGCAAGAACUCGUGAUGCUAGCCUAGGGUCCCUCUCACAACGAAGGCUCUUGUAGCAAGUGAAGCCCAGGUGCAUCUUUAGGAUUAGGAAUCUUGGAUGAUAAUUAUAAGAGUCGACGACAUAGGAGCAUGGUCAAGUGAGAGGUAUGACAUGGGAGUACAAGAGAAUAGUGCUAUGCUGAACAUGUGCCUUGCAAGCUUCUAAUUGAAUUGGAGAAGCUGAAAGUGUGUUUUGUUACUGCAAGGGGUGAGGUUUUUCUUCCAUGCUGGUUGGCUGGAUUUUUUUCAGUUUCUAUUAGUUCAUGUACAAUUCUUUCUUUCCUCAUAUAAUGAUUGGUGGGAAUAGUAAAGAAGAAAUGAUCUGCUAGAUGUGUGGCUUGUAGGUAGUGUUGC